rfam:Pichia membranifaciens NRRL Y-2026 unplaced genomic scaffold PICMEscaffold_8, whole genome shotgun sequence.
UCCGAAAUAGUUUAGUGGCUAGAAUUUCCGCUUGUCACGCGGGGGACCGGGGUUCAAUUCCCCGUUUCGGAG